CCAAAAAGCCUUGCAUUUUACGCACAGCGUCUAGAUGCUCACCGCAUUCUCGCAAAACGUCGCACACACAUUUUAGCACAAGGUACUUCUAUACCAAAACAUGAACCUGUUGAUUAUCGUAGCGUUAACUGUGAGUGCGUUCCUCGGCACGCCAGUCCUCGCGGAUACCUGCAAGGAACUUAAGGCACAAUAUGCCGAGUUGCGCCGCGUUGAAGACGGCUACAUCAGUCGCAUGCUGCCCCCUACGGGCGAGUCGAGUGCCAACCAAACUCUGUGGCCGAUCACCGAGGCGGAGCUUCAGCAAUAUCGACCAUUUGGCGACGCCUUUUGCCGCCGGGCAUUCAACUUGGGAAAUUGCAUAAAAAAACCUGUAUUCCCGUUGUCCCGAGGUAUACGACCGCGAGAAAAGUAACUAUGGUGGAUGGUACAGACCGGAAUGGCACAUUGCCAUGGGCCAGCUGUGCAAUACCACCAUCGGACCGGUGAAAUUAAUCCGCGCUGCAAUGCACUGCGAGCAACAAGAUCGACACAAGCUCUCCGACUGCUGCACUCUGAGCUCAGAUGCCUCGCAUGAACAGAACGGAAAUGCGACCGUUGCCCAACAGAAUAUUUGCGAAAAACUGAAAGUAAUCGUGGAACGCACCAGCGGCGCGGAGGGUACCGAAAUGGCCAGCAAAUGUGGUCAAGAUGCUAUGGAGACGUUGAAGCAGGCACAUCAGGAGUUACGCGCCUCUUACUGCUCGAAGCCAUAGACGGCGAAUCAUAACAUUAAAACUAAUUUGAUGAAAUUGUGCGCUUUAUUAGCUGUUCGUUUGGUCUGGUUUGAAUCUUUCAAUAAGAUCGAAUGAGAUGAUACUGUAGUGGUAGACGGCUUAUAAAGACGGCAAGCAGCAUCGAGUGACGUAACGGCAAAGCCAACCUGGAGGACAAUGGUUGUGGAGGCUUUGAGAUCGCAUCACACAACUGGAGAGAGUUCGUUUUUCCUAACAUCCAUCUUGACACAUUGCAUUCGC